rnacentral:rRNA from 1 species
AUGAACGCUAGCUACAGGCUUAACACAUGCAAGUCGAGGGGAAACGGCAUCGAAAGCUUGCUUUUGAUGGGCGUCGACCGGCGCACGGGUGAGUAACGCGUAUCCAACCUGCCCAUCACUUGGGAAUAACCUUGCGAAAGUAAGACUAAUGCCCAAUGACAUCCCACGAAGGCAUCCGAAUGGGAUUAAAGAUUUAUCGGUGAUGGAUGGGGAUGCGUCUGAUUAGCUUGUUGGCGGGGUGACGGCCCACCAAGGCAACGAUCAGUAGGGGUUCUGAGAGGAGGGUCCCCACAUUGGAACUGAGACACGGUCCAAACUCCUACGGGAGGCAGCAGUGAGGAAUAUUGGUCAAUGGGCGAGAGCCUGAACCAGCCAAGUAGCGUGCAGGAUGACGGCCCUAUGGGUUGUAAACUGCUUUUAUAAGGGAAUAAAGUGGGUCACGUGUGACUUUUUGCAUGUACCUUAUGAAUAAGGACCGGCUAAUUCCGUG